CGUGCUCAUUGUUAGUUCUAGCAUCAUAUAUUCAUAUGUCAAAUUGCAGUUGGGGGUUAGGUCGACAUAGUAUCUACAUCUACAGUUCUUUUUUUUCACAAGGGAGAACAUUUCUUUAUUAUUUGUGAAACAACUAAAUUUUGUUCCUAAGCUGCAGUGUGCUUGAUAUCUCACUGAGUGCACAACGCAAUGUUUUUUUGGUAGUUGUGGUUGUUUCCUAAGCUGUAGUAGAUACCAAGCUCUUUAAUAGUGUAUUUUGAUCAAACUUUGUGUCGUGCUUGCUUCUUCGCAAAAAUAAAUUUGGGUAAGAUCAGGUGCUCUGUCAUCGAUACAUGGCAGAUUUUUUGUUUGUUUCUUCAGAGUGCAAUCAUGUUUUGGUCUAUAUGGCUAUACUUACUUUUCAAGAGAGCUGGUGGUGAAUGCUUUCUCACCAAAAGGGGGUUUGGUGUUUGCAGCUUCUUCUGAAUAAUCAUAAGCUACUUAGUGCACUUUUGAUGCAUUUGAUCUGUCCCAUCUAGCAAGUUCCUUUUGGGUAUAAAUGCAAGUUUUUUGUAGCUUAUGUUUUAUAAUUCAAGUACUAGCACGUCACUGUAUCAUGUGUCCUGAGCACGGUGACAGCCUCCCUGACCACAUUGCUGCUGGUUAUUGUGGAUCCAUGUUGUAAGAAGCUUUUCAUGGUGGCUCAAAGAGGUGGCAUGGAGAGGAAGAAAAAUAUGUGGGUGUCAUGCUCGAUUUUGUCUUUGCCAGUGGAAGGGUGACUACGGCGAGGUUCCAGCCUGUCCACUGUGAGGAUAUCGGCAGUCACUUAUGAACAAGGCUUGGCACAUAACUCUUUGCAUGGAAAUCUUUAAUUGGUGUUCCAUGUGCCCGACGAGCGACCAAAGACAAGUGACAAAAAGGACUUGCCCGCUGGCAAGUAGGGCAUUGGUGAAAAAUCUUCCUGGUUUGUUUUCCUUGGCCAUGGAACGCACAAUCAUGCACUCGAUGGUCUUUAUUCUCCAUGUGUGAGGACAGCAUGUACUCACUAUAGCAGAUGACAGCAAUCUUCAUGCCAUAGCGUUGUAACUAAGCUUCAUGUGAAGCUUACCAUAACUGUUCACUUUUUAAUGGUUGGAUCAUUCAGUUUAGGAGUAUGAUGCAUUGAACAUAAGAGAUUGACUGAUGGAGGGUCUGAUUACCUUGGGAGAUGUGAUCUCAAUGUUAGUUCACGUAUCAUCCUUUUUAUUGAGAGGGAAGAUAUUCUACAUGUAUAGCAAUUCACUUCGAUUGCAGUGUCCCUACCCGAAGUUCAUCCAUGGCUACUUGGCUGAUUAGUGCCCUUCCUGCCAAGAUUCACCAUUGACAUUAUCUAUUUGAUUUAUGUAAUCCACCAUGCAAGCACAAUUGUUUUUCCCCUUUCGAAAUAAACUGAGUAGUGCACAUCCAGCAUAGGUAAGCCUACUACAUAUUUGUUGUUGAAUGGAAUUCCCACCAAGAAAAUGAUAAUCUAUGAGAAGAAUGGCAGUCUGUUGGUCAAGAAACAACCUGGUGACUUCAGAUAUUUUGCAUUUCCAGAUUAGCAACUCUAUUCAUCAUAUUAAAAUUAAUAACAAAUUCAAUUUAUCCACCGUAAAUGAAUAAUAAUCUAAUGGGUCUAUGUUCUGUUAAAAUACUUGAUAUGAUAUUGAGGUAUGCUCCCCUGUUUUCAUCCAUGCACUAUGUAUAUGUAGACUGACAUUAUAAGCUCUGAUCAUGAAUGCAUAAAUGUGACAUUAGUCCAAAUAUUUCAGACAUAAACAGUUGCCAUGAAAGGUUAUAUUUUGUGCUGGAUGGAUAUUUGUGUACAGAAAAGAUAAACGUAUUCUUUAUUAACCCAGGGCUGGAUGUACAGGGGGUGGUAGUGAGCUGUUUAGUUACUGAUCUUGCUUGUGUUGCUCUGGUUGAGGUUCCUUUGUUUCAUAUAUGAGCUAUAAAAGAGUUAAUUAACGGUGACGAUUAAAAUGGCCUUUUAUUAUGUAUGUUUGUCUGCAUAGUUGUUUAUGUUCUGUAUGGGAAUAUACAUUACUUCUACUGGGUUUAG